GCUUUAUAGGUUUCAGAUAGGAGGCCGUGCAUGCUAAUUGGUCUAUGGGUGGCCAUGGGAAGGCCUGGAAAAAGCACCAGAAGUUUUCACUUCAAGCCACAGACUCCACCUGGAACUUACAGCCUGGUCCCCAUGCCAUAGGCCAUUUCUCGCCUGAAGGUGAGGCUUCACCAGGGAUCCACCCCUUUCUGCCCAGGAGCCUGUCUGCCUCCUGCUGCCAUCUACAUGUCAUCCAGGGCACCCAGACUGUUCAUGUCUACGGGUGCCUGCAGGCCCACCCUGAGCUGCCUUCGGCAUCUCCAGCAGCCUCCCUCCCAUGCUAGUCAGCACCCAAAGUCUGGAGGGGGCUGAGGCAGCAGGGGGCUGGCAUAUCAGUGCUGCCCUGAGUGUGCGCGCAACCGGCCAGGUCGCCAAAGCGCCUGAGCUCAUCCUCAACUUUGAUCUGAAAUCAGAGCAGGUGCUGGGAGCAGAGGAACCCAGUUCUUUCCUGGAUCUAAGAGAGAUACAUCAGAGACCUUUAAGAUCUGAAGAGAUGCUUAUGUCUAUUCUCUCUGAAGACUGCUACCCGAAGCCUUCAUCUGCAUAACAAGAACCUUGGCCUCCACAGCCCUCCUUAACUCAAGCAUUCUUUCUACUGACAAGUCUUUAGAAAUCUUAACUCUUUCAACCAAUUAGCAAUCUGAAAAUGUUUGAAUCCCCCUGUGAGUUUUAAUUCAGUCUUCCCCCCCACCACUCCUGUCAACUUCAAGAUAUCCUGCCUCUAUAGGCUGAACCAAUGUAUAUCAUAUAUGUAUUAAUUUAAGUAUUUGCCUAUAAUUUCUGUCUUCCUAAAGUAUAUGGAAACAAAUGGUAACCUCACUGCCUCAGGCACACUGUCUCAGGACCUUUUGAGACUGUCCUCUGCCAUGAUUUCUCAUAUUUGCUCAGAAUAUAACUCUUUAAAUCUUUUACAGGGUUUGGAUGUUUAUAUGUUUUGGCUUUGUCCCCACCCAAAUCUUAAAUUGUAGCUCCCAUAAUUCCCACUUGUCUUGGGAGGGACCUGGUAAGAGGUAAUUCAAUCAUGAGGGCAGGUCUUUCCCAUGCUGUUUUCAUGAUAGUGAAUAAGUCUCAUGAGAUCUGAUGGUUAUAUAAAGGGAAGUUCCCCUACACAUGAUCUCUUUCUUGCCUACAGCCAUGGAAGAUGUGACCUUACUCCUUAUUUGCCUUCCACCAUGGUUUUGAGUCCUCUCCAGCAAUGUGGAACUGUCAGUCAAUUAAACCUCGUUCCUUUAUAAAUUACCCAGUCUUGGCUAUGUCUUUAUUAGCAGUAUGAGAACAGACUAAUACAGUAACUUGGUACCAGAUAGUAGGGAGCUGCUGUAAAGAUACCUGAAAAUGUGGAAAUGAAUUUGGAACUGGGUAACAGUCAGAAGUUAGAGCAGUUUGGAGGGCUCAGAAGAAGAUAGAAAAAUGUGGGAAAGUUUGGAACUUCCUAAAGACUUGUAGGACUCAGAAGACAAGAAGAUGUGGGAAAGUUUGGAACUUCCUAGAGACUUGUUGAAUGUCUUUAACCAAAAUGCUGAUAGUGAUAUGGACAAUAAGGUCUUGGCUGAGCUGGUGUCAGAUGGAGAUGAGAAACUUGUUGGAAACUGAAGUAAAGGUCACUCUUGCUAUACAAAGAGACACGACAUUUUGCCCCUUAUCUAGAGAUCUGUGGAACUUUGAACUUAAGAGAGAUGAUUUAGGGUAUCUGGUGGAAGAAAUGUUUAAGCAGCAAAGCAUUCAAAAGGCGACAAAGCAUAAAAGUUAAAAAAAUUGCAGCCUGAUAAUGCAGUAGUAAAUAAAAAAUGAUUUUCUAGGGAGAAAUUCAAGCUGGCUAUAGAAAUUUGCAUAAGUAACAAGGAGCCAAAUGCUAAUCGCCAAGACAAUGGGAAAAAUGUGUCCAGGGCAUGGCAGAGAACUUCACAACAGCCCCUCCAUUCAUAGGCCCAGAGGCCUAGGAGGGAAAAACAGUUUCCUGGUCUGGGCCCAGGGCCCUCCUGCUCUGUGCAGCCUAGGGACUUGGUGCCCUGCUUCCCAGCCCUGACUGAAAGAGACCAAUGUACAGCUCAGGUCGUUGAUUCAGAGGGUGCAAGCCCCAAGCCUUAGCAGCUAACACAUGGCAUUGGGCCUGCUGGUACACAGAAGUCAAGAAUUGGGAUUUCAGAACCUCUGCCUAGAUUUCAGAGAAUGUAUGGAAAUGCCUGGAUGUACAGACAGAGGUGUGCUGCAGGUGCAGAGCCCUCCUGGAAAACCUCUGCUAGGGUAGUGCAGAAGGGAUGCAAACCCCCACACAGAGUCCCCACUGGGGCACUACUUAGUGGAGCUCUGGGAAGAGGGCUGCUGUCCUCUAGACCCCAGGAUGGUAGAUCCACCAACAGCUUGCACCAUGUUCCUGGAAAAGCUGCAGGCACUCAAUGCCAGCCCAUGAAAGUAGCCAGGAGCAGAGCUAUACCAUUCAAAGUCACAGGGGCAGAGCUGCCCAAGGCCAUGGGAGCCAACCCACAUCUUGCAUCAGUGUGACCUGGAUGUGGGACCUAGAGUCAAAGGAGAUCAUUUCCGAGCUUUAAUAUUUGACUGCCCUGUUGGAUUUUUGAGCUUGCAUAGGGCUUGUAGCCCCUUUGUUUAGGCCAAUUUAUCCCAUUUAGAAUGGGUGUGUUUACCCAAUGCUUAUACCCCCAUUGUGUGUAGGAAGUAACUAGCUUUUGACUUUACAGGCUCAUAGGCAGAAGGGUCUUGCCUUGUCUCAGAUGAGACUUUGGACUGUGGGCUUUUGAAUUAAUGCUGAAAUGAGUUAAGACUUCUGGAGACUGUUGGGAAGGCAUAAUUGGUUUUAUAAUGUGAAAAGGACAUUAGAUUUGGAAGGGGCCAGGGGCAGAAUGAUAUGGCUUGGCUGUGUUCCCACCCAAAUUUCUAAUUGUACCUUCCAUAAUUCCCCCAUAUUGUAGAAGGGAGCUGGUGGGAUUAAUUGAAUCAUGGAGAUAGGUCUUUCCCAUGCUGUUCUCAUGAUAGUGAAUAAGUCUUAAAAGAUCUGAUGGUUUUACAAAGAGUAGUUCCCCUGCCCAUGCUCUCUUUCUUGCUUGCCAGCAUGUAAGAUGUUACUUUGCUCCUCCUUUGCCUUCCAUUAUGAUUGUGAGGCCUCCCCAGCCAAGUGGAACUGUGAGUCAAUUAAAU
rnacentral:lncRNA from 1 species